GUUUCAAGUAAAAUGGGACCAGACAACUCAGAAACAUUGAGCCAAGACCAAGAUCUUUGUUGUCUCGCUUGUCUUUCUUUAAAGGCAUGCCCAAUGUCAAGCUCUUCGACAGCAAGCUUAGGAACCUUCAUAAUAGACAGGUUACAUCUAUUAACAGAGGUGAUGAUCAUUCAUUUGAACCUUCAUCUUGCAAAAAGUGAUGUUUAUAACACUUAUGUAAAAAGCAACAUCUCAAUUAAGUGGUUCUGGAAACAAAUAUAGCAUGUCGGAUGCCUUACCAUUGUAGUAUUAUGAACUGGCGGGCCAAGUGAUAGAGAACACAAAGCUGCAACAGCAAGAGCAUUUUUCUGCUCCCUAUGAAA